rnacentral:rRNA from 1 species
AGAGUUUGAUCCUGGCUCAGGAUGAACGCUAGCGGCAGGCUUAAUACAUGCAAGUCGAGGGGUAGCAUGAUUGUAGCAAUACAAUUGAUGACGACCGGCAAACGGGUGCGGAACACGUACACAACCUUCCUACAAGUGGGGAAUAGCCCAGAGAAAUUUGGAUUAAUACCCCGUAACAUAGCGAUGUGGCAUCACAUUGCUAUUAUAGCUUCGGCGCUUGUUGAUGGGUGUGCGGCUGAUUAGAUAGUUGGCGGGGUAACGGCCCACCAAGUCUACGAUCAGUAGCUGAUGUGAGAGCAUGAUCAGCCACACGGGCACUGAGACACGGGCCCGACUCCUACGGGAGGCAGCAGUAAGGAAUAUUGGACAAUGGACGCAAGUCUGAUCCAGCCAUGCCGCGUGAAGGAUUAAGGUCCUCUGGAUUGUAAACUUCUUUUAUAAGGGACGAAAAAAGGUCUUUCUAGAUCGUCUGACGGUACCUUAUGAAUAAGCACCGGCUAACUCCGUGCCAGCAGCCGCGGUAAUACGGAGGGUGCAAGCGUUAUCCGGAUUCACUGGGUUUAAAGGGUGCGUAGGCGGGCAGGUAAGUCAGUGGUGAAAUCC